rnacentral:rRNA from 1 species
AACGUAGGUGGCAAGCGUUAUCCGGAUUUACUGGGCGUAAAGGGUGUGCAGGCGGGGUGGCAAGUGGUGUAUGAAACAUCCCGGCUUAACCGGGAGGGGUUAUGCCAGACUGCCAUUCUAGAGGACGAGAGAGGGGGGUGGAAUUCCGGGUGUAGUGGUGAAAUGCGUAGAGAUCCGGAGGAACCCCAGAGGCGAAGGCGGCCCCCUGGCUCGUACCUGACGCUCAGCCACGAAAGCAUGGGGAGCGAACGGG